rnacentral:rRNA from 1 species
UACGUAUGGGGCAAGCGUUGUUCGGAAUUACUGGGCGUAAAGGGCUCGUAGGUGGCCAACUAAGUCAGACGUGAAAUCCCUCGGCUUAACCGGGGAACUGCGUCUGAUACUGGAUGGCUUGAGUUUGGGAGAGGGAUGCGGAAUUCCAGGUGUAGCGGUGAAAUGCGUAGAUAUCUGGAGGAACACCGGUGGCGAAGGCGGCAUCCUGGACCAAUACUGACGCUGAGGAGCGAAAGCUAGGGGAGCAAACGGG